GCACGGACUAGAGCGGCGGACUGGUGAGUAACGCGUGGGUGACCUACCUUAAGGAUGGGGAUAGCUGUUAGAAAUAGCAGGUAAUACCGAAUACGUUGGAGUUGCUGUGGCAACUCCAGGAAAGAUGCUACGGCAUCGCCUUUAGAUGGGCCCGCGUCCCAUUAGCUAGUUGGUAGAGUAAAGGUUUACCAAGGCGAAGAUGGGUAGCCGGCCUGAGAGGGUGAACGGCCACACUGGGACUGAGAUACGGCCCAGACUCCUACGGGAGGCAGCAGCUAAGAAUAUUCCGCAAUGGACGAAAGUCUGACGGAGCGACGCCGCGUGUAUGAGGAAGGCCGAACAGGUUGUAAAGUACUUUUGCGAACUGAAGAAUAAGUAAGGUAGGGAAUGACCUUA
rnacentral:rRNA from 1 species